rnacentral:rRNA from 1 species
GAUGAACGCUGGCGGCGUGCCUAAUACAUGCAAGUCGAGCGAACAGAUGAGGAGCUUGCUCCUCUGACGUUAGCGGCGGACGGGUGAGUAACACGUGGAUAACCUACCUAUAAGACUGGGAUAACUUCGGGAAACCGGAGCUAAUACCGGAUAAUAUAUUGAACCGCAUGGUUCAAUAGUGAAAGACGGUUUUGCUGUCACUUAUAGAUGUAUCCGCGCCGCAUUAGCUAGUUGGUAAGGUAACGGCUUACCAAGGCAACGAUGCGUAGCCGACCUGAGAGGGUGAUCAGCCACACUGGAACUGAGACACGGUCCAGACUCCUACGGGAGGCAGCAGUAGGGAAUCUUCCGCAAUGGGCGAAAGCCUGACGGAGCAACGCCGCGUGAGUGAUGAAGGUCUUCGGAUCGUAAAACUCUGUUAGUAGGGAAGAACAAAUGUGUAAGUAACUAUGCACGUCUUGACGGUACCUAAUCAGAAAGCCACGGCUAACUACGUG